rnacentral:tRNA from 1 species
GCCAUUGUGGUGUAGUGGUUUGAGCGUUGGACUAGGACUCUGGAGACCAGGGUUCAAAUCCUGGCUUGGCC